UUGAACUGUCCAGCUUGAGGUUAGCAGCCCAAUGGGUAACCACUGUGCUACCAGGGCUCUACGCCGAAAUCAAGAAAACCUAAAUAAAUGGAGAGAAUACCAUGUUCACAGGACGGAACAGUCAAUAUCGUUACAAGAGAAACUUGAAAAAACGGGCCUAUGAACAACAGAAAACAUAUGACCACAAGUGGCCCAGCCAAAGGGAGAUGCCAGGAGACAAGAGGGUUUUGAAACCAAGAAGUUAAUGAGGGCUGCCGUAAGAAAACAGUACAAAGUGGGGACUUUGAGGAACAGAAAUGACCUUUUCCCCAGUCAGAAGCUGGACGUCUGAAUUCACGGUAGUGUUGGACCUAGCAGAUCCUUCUUUGUCUCCUCUGGUUCUGUGGCCUCGGUGUUUUGGGGGCGUUCCUUGGCUUCAGCUGGAUCCUUGUGGUAGUUACAUAAUCUGCUGUCAAUUUGAGACUUUGA